rnacentral:rRNA from 1 species
CCUACGGGUGGCAGCAGUGAGGAAUAUUGGUCAAUGGCCGCGAGCCUGAACCAGCCAAGUCGCGUGAAGGAUGACUGCCCUACGGGUUGUAAACUUCUUUUGUAAAGGAAUAAAGUGAGUCACGUGUGCCUUUUUGUAUGUACUUUAUGAAUAAGGAUCGGCUAACUCCGUGCCAGCAGCCGCGGUAAUACGGAGGAUCCGAGCGUUAUCCGGAUUUAUUGGGUUUAAAGGGAGCGUAGAUGGGUUGUUAAGUCAGUUGUGAAAGUUCGUGGCUCAACCGGAAAAUUGCAAUUGAUACUGGAUGCCUUGAGUACGGUUGAGGUAGGCGGAAUGCGUGGGGUAGCGGUGAAAUGCUUAGAUAUCACGAAGAACUCCGAUUGCGAAGGCAGCCUACUA